CUACGAGCUGCAGCAGUGGGGAAUCUUAGACAAUGGGCGCAAGCCUGAUCUAGCCAUGCCGCGUGAGUGACGAAGGCCUUAGGGUCGUAAAGCUCUUUCGCUGGGGAAGAUAAUGACGGUACCCAGUAAAGAAACCCCGGCUAACUCCGUGCCAGCAGCCGCGGUAAUACGGAGGGGGUUAGCGUUGUUCGGAAUUACUGGGCGUAAAGCGCGCGUAGGCGGAUCAGAAAGUUGGGGGUGAAAUCCCGGGGCUCAACCCCGGAACUGCCUUCAAAACUCCUGGUCUUGAGUUCGAGAGAGGUGAGUGGAAUUCCGAGUGUAGAGGCGAAAUUCGUAGAUAUUCGGAGGAACACCAGUGGCGAAGGCGGCUCACUGGCUCGAUACUGACGCUGAGGUGCGAAAGCGUGGGGAGCAAACAGGAUUAGAUACCCCGGUAGUC
rnacentral:rRNA from 1 species